CGGCUCAUCACAUCCUGGGGCUGUAGCCGGUCCCAAGGGUAUGGCUGUUCGCCAUUUAAAGUGGUACGUGAGCUGGGUUUAAAACGUCGUGAGACAGUUUGGUCCCUAUCUGCCGUGGGCGCUGGAAGUUUGAGAGGGCCUGCUCCUAGUACGAGAGGACCGGAGUGGACGCACCCCUGGUGUACCGGUUGUGACGCCAGUCGCAUCGCCGGGUAGCUAUGUGCGGAAGAGAUAACCGCUGAAAGCAUCUAAGCGGGAAACUCGCCUCAAGAUGAGACUUCCCCGGGGCCCCGAGCCCCCUGAAGGGUCGUUGAAGACCACAACGUUGAUAGGUCGGGUGUGGAAGCGCAGUAAUGCGUUAAGCUAACCGAUACUAAUUGCCCGUGCGGCUUGAUCCUAUAACCUU
rnacentral:rRNA from 1 species